CAUCCUUGUCAAAAUCAUCGUUCUUUUGUAUAAAAGAACCUAGAUAAGUAUUUACAACUUACUAAUGUUAAUAUUAAAUAUUAAAAUGAAUAAAAGCAUAAAAAAGUUCUUAUAUAUUAUUCUUAAACCUAAUAUUAAUCAUGCUAUAAAAUAAGUAUACGAAAAUAAUAUUAAUGGGAUUGACAUUUUGGUUAGAAAAAUUGCUAUCUUUUCUCAAUCAGUCUGAUCGAUGUAGUAAAGUGAUAAGAACAUUCUGAAAACAGAACAAAAUUUAGUAUUUAAGUCUAGAUGAUAAGAAUAUUCAGACGACUUUUUUAUA